GAGUUUCUAAGGCAAACUAUCAGCACACAUUAUAGGAAUUGGGGCAUGCUAGUUGAGAAAUAAGCAAAUAAGUUUCUUGGAUCAAACAGGAACAUGCUAUCAUAUUGAACAAGACAUGACUUAAGUCAUGCUGGUUAGAAGAACAUAAGCAUGUUGGAAUAUCAACCACAUAGCCAUAUGGGGCAAAGAGGUAACAAGACUAAAGCAUACUGGUUAUAAUAAAUAAGAAGCAUAUAAUAAACAUGCACAUAUUGAAGUUCAGAGUGAAUUAAUCAUAUAAUUCAUAGAGAAUAGGAACUGAAGCAUAGUAGUUGAGAAGAAGAUGGCUAGGAAGAAAAUAUCAAAGUAGAAGUAUACUGAGACACAUACCGCAUGUAGGAGAUUAUGAUUACAGAAACAUGGGCAUACCAAUUAAGAGAUAGCAAACAUGAUGGUGAAGGAAAGCUGAGUCCAAUAUCCUAGCCUUGACUUUCAGCCAGCUAGACAGUGCAACAAACACAAGUAACAGAAAGAAUUACAAUGGAGAGUGUGUGCGAAUAAGAGUUAUUGUGUGUAUUUCUGUAUCUUUCUAAGUGUGUUCGUGUCUUUGAAAUAAAUCAAAAAUCUGUUUUAUAUAGCACUUAGCAUAGAAAGCAAAUAAGGCAAAGAAUAAUUCAGAGUUCAGAAAUAAGGUAUACAAAUAAAAUCAAUAUGUUUAUUGGAGCUAAACUAAAUUAAAUAACUUACCAGAAUCCGGGAAAGAACCCUUAAAAUAAGGGAAAUAAAUUAAGAGCCCAGAUUAGAGGUUAAAAAAGGUAGUAAUAUCAAUCAAAGACCAUCUAGGAGUCGUCUAAAGCAGUCAAAUCCUAUCAAUUUGGUUAAUAAACUAAUUAAGGAAAGUAGUAUCUAAUUAGAGAUCCAAAUAAAGAAAAUAGGUAUAAAAUCACAUAGAAGUAUCAAUCAUGGCAUAUAAAAAAUAAUUUGAACCUUAAUAAGAUCAGUUAAUCUCUUCUAAUUGACAAAGAUGAAAAUAACAGGCGAAUACUAGAACAACAAAUCAAAUAAUCAGAAACCCUAGGGUUUAGAACAUAGACAGUCAAGCAAACAAAGAGUAACGCAAUCAAACACUCAGACAUCAUUAGAAAAGUUUUGCAGAAAUGCAAAGAAAAUAAAACCCUAGUUUUAGAGAAAACAUUAAAAUCAGUUAAUAGUAAGAAAGAUAUAGAAGGUUUUGAAGACAAAUACCAGGCAAACAUAAAAUCAUUUUAGAUCUACAAGGAUCUGAACAAACUUAGGUAGAAAGAGAUGAGGUUUUAUGAAAAAUGGAAUAAGAUGAGGAAAAAUCCAGUUAAGAACCGGAGUUUCAAUCUAUAUACAUAAAGAUACAAUACUCACAAACAUAGUGAUGAACAGGAAGCAGGUUCAUCGAAAAAAAUGAAGAUUCUAGGUUGACUCUGAGUUGAAUUUCUUUUAGAUUCCUUCAAAACAUGAAGAAAUCGAACAAACAAUAGAGGUAGGAGGUCCGAUAAGGCGUUAAAUUACCAAAUGAUUCCAUAUCCGGUUGGGAAUCAAAAGGAUCAGGGAGGAAUUUUUUGUGAAGGCACUUUAGGGUUCGAGAGCAUCUGAGAGAGAAGAGAAAAGGAGAGCAUUCAGAGG
rnacentral:lncRNA from 1 species